rnacentral:rRNA from 1 species
GACGAACGCUGGCGGCGUGCUUAACACAUGCAAGUCGAACGGAAAGGCCCUGCUUUUGUGGGGUGCUCGAGUGGCGAACGGGUGAGUAACACGUGAGUAACCUGCCCUUGACUUUGGGAUAACUUCAGGAAACUGGGGCUAAUACCGGAUAGGAGCUCCUGCUGCAUGGUGGGGGUUGGAAAGUUUCGGCGGUUGGGGCUGGACUCGCGGCUUAUCAGCUUGUUGGUGGGGUAGUUGCUUACCAAGGCUUUGACGGGUAGCCGGCCUGAGAGGGUGACCGGCCUCAUUGGGACUGCGAUACGGCCCAGACUCCUACGUGACGCAGCAGUGGGGAAUAUUGCACAACGGGCGGAAGCCUGAUGCGGCGACGCCGCGUGCGGGAUGCCGGCCUUCGGGUUGUAAACCGCUUUCGCCUGUGCCGAAGCGGGAGUGACGGUAAUGGGUAAAGAAGCACCGGCUAACUACGUG